AUUGAACGCUGGCGGCAUGCCUUACACAUGCAAGUCGAACGGCAGCACGGGUUCUUGCACCUGGUGGCGAGUGGCGAACGGGUGAGUAAUACAUCGGAACGUACCUUAUCGUGGGGGAUAACGCAGCGAAAGCUGUGCUAAUACCGCAUACGCCCUGAGGGGGAAAGCGGGGGAUCGCAAGACCUCGCGCGAUUAGAGCGGCCGAUGCCCGAUUAGCUAGUCGGUGGGGUAAAAGCCCACCAAGGCGACGAUCAGUAGCUGGUCUGAGAGGACAGUCAGCCGGACUGGGGAUGGGACACGGCCCAGACUCCUACGGGAGGGAGCAGUGGGGAAUUUUGGACAAUGGGGGCAACCCUGAUCCAGCAAAGCCGCGUGAGUGAAGAAGGCCUUCGGGUUGUAAAGCUCUUUUGUCAGGGAAGAAACACCGGCUCUAACACAGUCCGGGAAUGACGGUACCUGAAGAAUAAGCACCGGCUAACUACGUGCCAGCCGCCGCUGUAA
rnacentral:rRNA from 1 species